rnacentral:rRNA from 1 species
GACGAACGCUGGCGGCGUGCUUAACACAUGCAAGUCGAACGGAAAGGCCCUGCUUUUGUGGGGUGCUCGAGUGGCGAACGGGUGAGUAACACGUGAGUAACCUGCCCUUGACUUUGGGAUAACUUCAGGAAACUGGGGCUAAUACCGGAUAGGAGCUCCUGCUGCAUGGUGGGGGUUGGAAAGUUUCGGCGGUUGGGGAUGGACUCGCGGCUUAUCAGCUUGUUGGUGGGGUAGUGGCUUACCAAGGCUUUGACGGGUAGCCGGCCUGAGAGGGUGACCGGCCACAGGGGGACUGUGAUACGGCCCAGACUCCUACGGGAGGCAGCAGUGUGGAAUAUUGCACAAUGGGCGGAAGCCUGAUGCAGCAACGCCGCGUGCGGGAUGACGGCCUUCGGGUUGUAGACCGCUUUCGCCUGUGACGAAGCGUGAGUGACGGUAAUGGGUAAAGAAGCACCGGCUAACUACGUG